UGCCACAGCCAUAUCGCCCUGCAGCCCAAGAGUGGUCACUCACUGAAGCUAAGCAGGGCUGAGCCUGGUCAGUACCUAGAUGGGAGACCACAUGGGAAAAGCUAGGUUGUUGAUGGAA
ensembl:rRNA 5S_rRNA 5S ribosomal RNA